CACGUGGGUAACCUGCCUCAUAGAGUGGAAUAGCCUUCCGAAAGGAAGAUUAAUACCGCAUAACGUUGAAAGAUGGCAUCAUCAUUCAACCAAAGGAGCAAUCCGCUAUGAGAUGGACCCGCGGCGCAUUAGCUAGUUGGUGGGGUAACGGCCUACCAAGGCGACGAUGCGUAGCCGACCUGAGAGGGUGAUCGGCCACAUUGGGACUGAGACACGGCCCAGACUCCUACGGGAGGCAGCAGUGGGGAAUAUUGCACAAUGGGGGAAACCCUGAUGCAGCAACGCCGCGUGAGUGAUGAAGGUUUUCGGAUCGUAAAGCUCUGUCUUUGGGGAAGAUAAUGACGGUACCCAAGGAGGAAGCCACGGCUAACUACGUGCCAGCAGCCGCGGUAAUACGUANGUGGCGAGCGUUAUCCGGAUUUACUGGGCGUAAAGGGAGCGUAGGCGGAUGAUUAAGUGGGAUGUGAAAUACCCGGGCUCAACUUGGGUGCUGCAUUCCAAACUGGUUAUCUAGAGUGCAGGAGAGGAGAGUGGAAUUCCUAGUGUAGCGGUGAAAUGCGUAGAGAUUAGGAAGAACACCAGUGGCGAAGGCGACUCUCUGGACUGUAACUGACGCUGAGGCUCGAAAGCGUGGGGAGCAAACAGGAUUAGAUACCNUGGUAGUCCACGCCGUAAACGAUGAAUACUAGGUGUGGGGGUUUCAACACCUCCGUGCCGCCGCUAACGCAUUAAGUAUUCCGCCUGGGGAGUACGGUCGCAAGAUUAAAACUCAAAGGAAUUGACGGGGACCCGCACAAGUAGCGGAGCAUGUGGUUUAAUUCGAAGCAACGCGAAGAACCUUACCUACACUUGACAUCCCUUGCAUUACUCUUAAUCGAGGAAAUCCCUUCGGGGACAAGGUGACAGGUGGUGCAUGGUNGUCGUCAGCUCGUGUCGUGAGAUGUUGGGUUAAGUCCCGCAACGAGCGCAACCCUUGUCGUUAGUUACUACCAUUAAGUUGAGGACUCUAGCGAGACUGCCUGGGUUAACCAGGAGGAAGGUGGGGAUGACGUCAAAUCAUCAUGCCCCUUAUGUGUAGGGCUACACACGUGCUACAAUGGCUGGUACAGAGAGAUGCAAUACCGCGAGGUGGAGCCAAACUUAAAAACCAGUCUCAGUUCGGAUUGUAGGCUGAAACUCGCCUACAUGAAGCUGGAGUUACUAGUAAUCGCGAAUCAGAAUGUCGCGGUGAAUACGUUCCCGG
rnacentral:rRNA from 1 species